AUUGAACGCUGGCGGCAGGCUUAACACAUGCAAGUCGAGCGGUAACAGGGGGUGCUUGCACCCCGCUGACGAGCGGCGGACGGGUGAGUAAUGCUUAGGAAUCUGCCCAGUAGUGGGGGAUAGCCCGGGGAAACCCGGAUUAAUACCGCAUACGUCCUACGGGAGAAAGCAGGGGAUCUUCGGACCUUGCGCUAUUGGAUGAGCCUAAGUCGGAUUAGCUAGUUGGUGGGGUAAAGGCCUACCAAGGCAACGAUCCGUAGCUGGUUUGAGAGGAUGAUCAGCCACAUCGGGACUGAGACACGGCCCGAACUCCUACGGGAGGCAGCAGUGGGGAAUAUUGGACAAUGGGGCAACCCUGAUCCAGCCAUGCCGCGUGUGUGAAGAAGGCUUUCGGGUUGUAAAGCACUUUCAGUAAGGAGGAAAACCUUACGGUUAAUAACCGUGAGGCUUGACGUUACUUACAGAAGAAGCACCGGCUAACUCCGUGCCAGCAGCCGCGGUAAUACGGAGGGUGCAAGCGUUAAUCGGAAUUACUGGGCGUAAAGCGCGCGUAGGUGGUUCGAUAAGCGGGAUGUGAAAGCCCCGGGCUUAACCUGGGAACGGCAUUCCGAACUGUCGAGCUAGAG
rnacentral:rRNA from 1 species